rnacentral:rRNA from 1 species
UACAGAGGUCUCGAGCGUUGUUCGGAUUCAUUGGGCGUAAAGGGCGCGUAGGCGGCGGGGUAAGUCUGGUGUGAAAUCUCGGAGCUCAACUCCGAAAUUGCACUGGAUACUGCUCUGCUAGAGGGCUGGAGAGGAGAUCGGAAUUCCUGGUGUAGCGGUGAAAUGCGCAGAUAUCAGGAAGAACACCCGUGGCGAAGGCGGCUCUCUGGAACGCAACUGACGCUGAGACGCGAAAGCGUGGGGAGCAAACAGG